ensembl:lncRNA
AUGCAGUGCCUUUCAAAAUUAGAAAAGGACCUGAGUAAGGACUUCACUAGAGUUGUUAUAAGAGGCAGAAAAGUACCAGUGCUUCUCACCAGAGAGAUGACAAGAUCACUUGACUUCCUGAUUGAGCACAGGACUCAAGAAAAUAACAUUUCUGAGACAAACAAAUAUGUCUUUGCAAGACAAAAUUCAGACUGCCACAUAAGAGGCUCAGACUGCUUAAGAAAAUUUGCAAAUGAAUGUAAUGCAAAACAUCCUGAGACCUUGACCUCUACCCAACUGAGAAAACACAUCGCAACCCUCUGUCAAAUAAUGAACUUGAAGGACCAUGAAAUGGAUCAGGUUGCAAAAUUUAUGGGACAUGACAUCCGUAUUCAUAGAGAAUACUAUCGCCUAACUGAGAACACGCUUCAACUUGCUAAAAUGAGCAAAUUGCUCAUGGCCAUUGAAUGUGGAACAACAGUUUAUAAAGGAAAAUCUCUAGACGAGAUUAACUUGGGAUUAGAAGUCGCUUUGUCUGAGAAACGUAAACAAGGCUGCACUUCAGACCAUGUUAUGAUGGAGACGUCUGAGCAAGAAGAAGAUGAGUUAUCCAGAAGUCAGAAGAAGAGGCCUGAUCCUGAGGAGUCUUGUGAUUCAGACGGCCCUGACACUUACAUAAAGACCAAAAUGAAGAGAUCCUCUAAGACUGACAGAAAUGGUUCUGCUGUGCAGAAGAUGGUUAAAAGAAGGCCCUGGAGUGAUGCCGAAAAAAAAAAACAGUUUGGCGGCAACUUGGAAGUUGUAUAACCUUUAUUGAGAGUCCCGUGGAAAGACAAAUGCAUCGAGUGCAUAGAUACAGAGCCAGCACUUCAGAGCAGACAUUGGAGAGACAUUAAAAAUCAUGUUCACAAUACCAUCCAAACCAGAAAGAAGAGGACGUCGCUGAAUUAACUUGCAUGUGUGAAGGCAAGUUGUUUUGACUUUUAUUCAUUCUCAGGAUAUGAAUUCUUGAUAUAUCAGCAAUUACAUUUCCACUAGUAAACACUAUAAUUCUUUAUUUCUGUAAUUGUAUUUUCACUAGUGAAAUCUCACCAUAGGCUGACAUUCAAAUUCAGUAUCAGUAUCAGAAAUACUGAUUGCUGAUUUCAGGAAUUACUUUGUUACUAGUGAAAAUGUAUUUUCUUGAUAUCUGCAAUUUAAUCGCUACUAGCAACAAUGUUCAUUUCUGAUUUCAUGAAUGUCAUUGUUUACUAGUAAGAAAUACAUUUUAUAUAUCAAAAAAUUACACUUCUAAUUAUUGAUAUCAGAAAUACAUUUUCAGAUAUCAGAAAUUAACAUUGUCACUAGUAGCAAUUAAAUUAAUUAAUUUUUCACUAGUAACAAAGUAAUUCCUGAAAUCAACAAUUAGUAUUUCUGAUAUCAAUAACUGAAUUUGAAUGUCAUCCUAUGGUGAGAUUUCACUAGUGAAAAUACAAUUACAGAAAUCAAGAAUUGAAGUCUUUACUUGUGGAAAUGUAAUUGUUGAUAUCAAAAAUUAGCAUUUUUAUUAGAGAAAAUUUAACUAUCAAUAGUUCAUAUCCUGAGAAUGAAUAAAAGUCAGAACAGCUUCA